UACCACCUUAGGCACGCCCGAUCUCGUCUGAUCUCGGAAGCUAAGCAGGGUCGGGCCUGGUUAGUACUUGGAUGGGUGACCGCCUGGGAAUACCAGGUG
rnacentral:rRNA from 10 species